CUCUGGGCAAAGGGGCACUCAUGCUUGUCCUCUCGGCUACUGUUCUCCAACACGAACUAAGGCAGUGGGAAUAGAGGAUGGCAACAGGACUCCAUGGAGACCCUGAAGGGGGUCAAGUGGUGUCCGCAUCCGUGGCUCCAGCAACCCCAGUGUAAGAGCCUGCAGCACAUACAAGUGGUGAGCCAUCUCAUCGCCCAUGGGAGCCGCACUGUGGAUGAUAUUCUGGAAAACAGCCAGGCUUGAAUAAGACUCACUGGGAAAGGAGGACUGGGGAGAAGGUCUCCCUGGCCUGGUCCAUCCUACCUUGUAGAUGAACUGGCGAAGAUUCCUCUGCCAUAGGUAGUCAAGCAUAUGCUGCAGUGGGCGAGAAGGGGUUUCAAUGAUUUUGCUCUUAGCUGGAAUACAGCACCCACCAGCUGCUCUUCUUCAUUCGGUCACCCUGGACAGAAACACUCACCUUCCGUUCAGCAGGGCUGGCCCCCUGCAGCAGGGCUGUCAGCAAAGCCAUAGCCUUGGUUUGCAGCUGCUGGUUCAUUCUACGGCAAGAGGAGGAACAGGCUCAGCCGUGCAUCUCGAGGCCAGUUCUGCAUGUCCCCAUUCCCACUGUGCCCUAGAGGCUUACACCUGCAGGUGCACCAGCAGCCUAUCCAGUGGCACCUCACUCUUCACCAGCUGGCCCAGGGCAGGGCUGCUCAAAGUCACACUCUCCAGCAGCCUGAGGGCUAAGGGCUGCACAGAGGCAUCCAUCAGGUUCAUGUUCACAUAAGAUACCACCUGUAAGGGACAGAGGGUGUCAUUACCAUUCACAGGGGCUAGAUGUGGGCACUGCUCCACUGCCCCUGGAAGAGAACACACACCUUCCUGACAAAGGGGAUGCUGAGUGUCUCCCAGGACACCACGCCGUGUUCCAUGAGCUCCAAGAAAGCCCUUAGACCAAGGGCCAGCAUCUCCCCUAGGCUACAAAGAAUACCUGGGGAUGAGUAGGAUCAGACCAAGAUUCCUAAGCCCUGCUAUGUCACCCAGCCCACCACAGACGGCCCUGUGCUCACUCAUCCCCAUUUUCAAUGAUGGCGCUUAGUCUCUGAAGCCCAUCACGGCUGAUGACCUCCUGGGCAAAGGUCAUGUCUGAGGCCAGCAGGACCAGGUUUUUCAGGGCUUGAUAGCACCCUUCACGACUUGUACUCUGCAACCCACCCAGCAGCUGCUGGGCCUCCAGGUCCUAGCAGGAGCAGUAAAGAGAUGAAGUGGUUAGACUAGAAUGUUACUGGAACUGCAAGUGUGAUGGCCUGGGUGUCCACUAGGUGGGGCACUAAGGAGCUGGGGCCUCCAGACCCGAGGCAGAAGCCACUAGGCAGGCAGCAAAGGGACCCAGCAGAGGGGGAGGAGAGGAGAGGGCUGAAAGGGGCAUUACUGGGGCAGUGCUGAGGCACAGGAUGCUUCCAUUCUUGAUCUCCGUGCGGUUCUGGAGGAAACAGCAGAAAGGAGCAAAGUUAAAGAGGGCUCUAGGAAAUGGUCAACCGGAUCAUCUGUUGGGGGGUCAGUAAAAGAACUCACAUUCGGAGCAGUGAGAAUAAAUAUAUUGAAUUAAAGCCAGGUGGGUUAAAGGGGCCCUGUGCAGUGUGGGUCUGGGAGGGGGCUCACAUUCUCUGUGAUGAAUCUCUUGUGCCCAUCAGCAAACUUCAGGGCAUAGCGCUCGGAGUCAGUCACGUUCCACCUGUGGGACAGGAAGCUCAGCGAGCGAAGUCCAGGGUCACCUCUCCCACCUGUCCCUGCCCUUCUCCCACUUUUGCCUAUUCUUACUUACACAUCACACACCUCCUUCAGCACAGUGGCCAGGGGCUUUGCCUGCAAGUGGAGUUGUCACUGAAGGCGUUAGGGUAAGGAGUUGGGAUGAGGGACUUCUAAGAGGGGUGGGUUGGGCUAGCCCGAGGGAAGAGGAACAAUCCAGAAGUGGGAGGGGGAGUUCGGACAGUCCCGUUGACCUGGUCUAGCUGGAUAAGCUGUGGGAUGGCGUCAGACUUCUGAACGGCGAUCUUCACCACGUUCCUUGGGGGCGCCAUAGUCCUGCCGCUGUGACCGUCGGCACUUUGCACAACUGUGCCACCUCCCGCCGAGGGUGCACCUCGUCUGGGGCUAGGUCCUCCCUCUGUCUAAAGCCUGGCCCCGGGGGCCUGCACUCACAGUUCAGGUUACCACUGGGCUCCAAGGCCUUCCUAAAGGAGCCUGUUAGUUCCGGGUUAAUCUCAGGGGUAGGAGGGUAGGACCCAGCCUGCCCUGACCCGUUCCGCCCCACUGAGAAGGCCUGGCCCCGCCCACGCCAAGGUGCAGCCGGUGAAGACUGGGAGGGCAGGCAUCCUACACAGCGGCCACACCUCCCAUUCCAGUAAGGUGACCCACCCAGUUGCAACAACCCAGCAGUCCCAGGGAGGAGCCCCAAAGAAACAGAUCAGAGAUAGCCUUAGGCAUGUCUUUAUUCACUUGGAUGCUGUACAAAUAUUACAAUUUCCUUUUGCUGAAAAAAGUAUAAAAAUAAUCUUUAUAUAGGAA